GGGUGAGUAACACGUGAGUAACCUGCCCCAGGCUUUGGGAUAACCCCGGGAAACCGGGGCUAAUACCGGAUAUGACUGGCUGCCGCAUGGUGGUUGGUGGAAAGAUUUUUCGGCUUGGGAUGGACUCGCGGCCUAUCAGCUUGUUGGUGGGGUAAUGGCCUACCAAGGCGGCGACGGGUAGCCGGCCUGAGAGGGCGACCGGCCACACUGGGACUGAGACACGGCCCAGACUCCUACGGGAGGCAGCAGUGGGGAAUCUUGCACAAUGGGCGGAAGCCUGAUGCAGCGACGCCGCGUGAGGGAUGACGGCCUUCGGGUUGUAAACCUCUUUCAGCAGGGACGAAGCGUUUGUGACGGUACCUGCAGAAGAAGCGCCGGCCAACUACGUGCCAGCAGCCGCGGUAAGACGUAGGGCGCGAGCGUUGUCCGGAUUUAUUGGGCGUAAAGAGCUCGUAGGCGGCUUGUCGCGUCGACUGUGAAAACCCGUGGCUCAACUGCGGGCUUGCAGUC
rnacentral:rRNA from 1 species